ACACAUGCAAGUCGAACGAGAGAAGAGAAGCUUGCUUUUCUGAUCUAGUGGCGGACGGGUGAGUAACACGUGAGCAAUCUGCCUUUCAGAGGGGGAUACCGAUUGGAAACGAUCGUUAAUACCGCAUAAUAUAAUUGAACCGCAUGAUUUGAUUAUCAAAGAUUUAUCGCUGAAAGAUGAGCUCGCGUCUGAUUAGCUAGUUGGUAAGGUAACGGCUUACCAAGGCGACGAUCAGUAGCCGGACUGAGAGGUUGAUCGGCCACAUUGGGACUGAGACACGGCCCAGACUCCUACGGGAGGCAGCAGUGGGGAAUAUUGCACAAUGGAGGAAACUCUGAUGCAGCGAUGCCGCGUGAGGGAAGAAGGUUUUAGGAUUGUAAACCUCUGUCUUCAGGGACGAAAAAUGACGGUACCUGAGGAGGAAGCUCCGGCUAACUACGUGCCAGCAGCCGCGGUAAUACGUAGGGAGCGAGCGUUGUCCGGAAUUACUGGGUGUAAAGGGAGCGUAGGCGGGAUCGCAAGUCAGAUGUGAAAACUAUGGGCUUAACCCAUAAACUGCAUUUGAAACUGUGGUUCUUGAGUGAAGUAGAGGUAAGCGGAAUUCCUAGUGUAGCGGUGAAAUGCGUAGAUAUUAGGAGGAACAUCAGUGGCGAAGGCGGCUUACUGGGCUUUAACUGACGCUGAGGCUCGAAAGCGUGGGGAGCAAACAGGAUUAGAUACCCUGGUAGUCCACGCCGUAAACGAUGAUUACUAGGUGUGGGGGGACUGACCCCUUCCGUGCCGCAGCAAACGCAAUAAGUAAUCCACCUGGGG
rnacentral:rRNA from 1 species